GAGAGAAAAGCAAAACAAAAGGCAGAGAAUGAAACAGCAGAGAAAUGGAACAGAAAAGGCCGCGAUGAAGAACGUGUUAAAUCCCACCCCCAUUUUAUUUAAAAAUGGUUUUUAGUUCUUAAUUGGUGAGCCAAGGGGCCCACCCUUUUAUUUUUGUAUCCCCCGUGACCCUCUCCUUUCCCUCUUUCCCUCUUUCUUCGUCUCAACCCUCUCGUGCAUCUCUCUCUCCCUCUCUCCCUCAAGCUCUCGUCUCUCUCUCUCCCCCUGGAUUCUCGAAGACCUUAGCACCAUCAGGAGGGACUCCCCACGAAGCAGGGACCCCUGCCCUGCGAGGUAAACGGCACGGAGCAAAGCUCCGACGAGUUUUCUUCCUUUUUCAGUAGGGGUAAGUCUCUAAUCUCUCACUCUCGUACCUAGCUAAAUGUUUGGUCGUGAUUUAUAAGCGUGAACCUUCCAUUUUUACGUAGGUUUUACCUUGGAAACGUUUUGGGUGAGCACACCCAUUUUUCCGGCGAACCCGUGCACUCCGAGGGCUUUUCCGGUCACCUCCGACCGAGUUACGGUGUUUGGAAGGUAGAAAUCUCUUCCUCUCUCUUUGUUCUUCAUUUCCGUACCUAGAUCGGAGCUUGAAGCCCCCAUUUUCAGGUGACCGGAGCUGUAGCAGCUCCGGCCUUCUUCUUCCUCGGCACCAGGCCGUCUGGCCUCUCCCAUUUCCUCCUCGGGCCUUAGGCCCGUGUGGUCUUAAACCCAAAUCCCCAGCCCCUUUUUCUUUUAAUUUUGUUAGUUUAGUUUUUAAAAACCCAAUGGGCUCGGGCCCUAGUUUUGUGAGGCCUUGGGCCGGUUUAAUUAAAGGGCUUAAGCCCUAUCUUUUUUUUUAUAAGGCCUUAAGGCCUUUAUAUUUUGGUGGUGUGUGUGUGUGUGUGUGAUUAGGCAUGCACAUGCAUGCUGUGCAUGUGUGUGUGUGUUUGUUGAAUAUAUGUUUGGGCUUAAGCCCAAACUCCUUUCUUUCACCCUAAUAACCUUUUAACCCAAAACCCUAAACCCAUCCAAUCCCAAUCCCCUAUUUUAAUUUAAUUCAAACCAAAUCUUUUAGAAAAUCCUUUAUUUAUUAAUUAUACAUUCUUGUUCUUAGGUAAAAUUGUUAGUGGAGAAAUUCUAAAUCCUUAUUCGCGCGACUCUUCUGCUAAGGAAUAUUUGUGAGUGGACCCCUUCUAAAAUUACAUGAUUUGAUAAUUUAAUUGCAUAAAUGAUUAGCAUGCCUACGGAUUUAUGAUUUGAUUUAUGUGAAGCCUGAUGAUUUAAUAUAUUGAUUAUCGUCUCGUGUUUUUGGUGAGGAAUUAAUUGUUGGCCUAUAUUGAGCUAUAUUUUAAUAUAUCGUAUUUUCUAUAAAAACCAUGAACUGGUAGACUAUCUGAUUGAUGAUGAUAGGAUGCUAGAACAUGAUUUUGAACCCUCUUUAUAGCGUAGACGAUAAUCGGUAACCUAUGCUACGAAGUGGUAUUUAUGAGAGGCGUAAAUAUUUGUGCGUACCUAGUAGACACUAUGCCGCCUGGGGCGAGGAUCUGGUGUUGGCAUGUAGGCCGGGAGAAAUAAUCCCUAGCGAAAGGCUGAGGGACACGGAGACAGGCAUUGGGCCGGGAGGGAGUUAUCUCUGGCUACGGGCACAGAGACUGAGGUGCGGGCAUUGGGCCGGGAGUUAUAUUUAUUCGGUGAUCUUACUAGCAGCACACCGCGUUUACGAGACGAUUUACGAGAUGUUUUACGCGAUGAUUUAUAUGAUGUUUUCCGCGUUAUGGCUUUUGAGAUAUUUUUGGCAUGCUAGGAUUUUUAUUAAAUCCAUCACUUAUUAUGCUAGUAGUUUUCAUUUAUAUAAACUUUGGGGGUUAGUAUCUUGAUAACUGUUUUAUUAUUAUUGUAUAUAUAAACUUGGUUCACUCACCUUUGUUUUGCGCCCCCAUUCAGGACUUAGAAUCAAGGCACCUAAUCCCGACGUGAAGACACUUCCGCAGCAGCAUCUUCGGAUCCUCUCGAUGUAGGACCCACUUCUUUAUUCAUUCAAUUUUAUCUCAAUUCUUUUUAGUGAUUAGGUUUAGUUGUAUGUUCUGAACACGUUCUUAAAAUUAUUAACUCUUAUUUAUUUCUUAUUCUUAGCUUUUGUAUCAAUUAAUGGCUUUCGUCACCCUCGGGUGUCGGCCAGCACGUGUCUAUCCUGGUAUUCGGGGAAUAUCAGGGUCGGGGCGUGUCAGAACGCAUGUCGAGCGAGGACAAAGUCGCCCUUUUCGACGAUGAUCGACGUGUGGACAGAAUGGACGUCAUUCCACUGUGUGGAGAAGGAAAAAUGGAGAACGACACCGAAGCAAAAGCAAAACGGAAGACAGACGCGUGGGCUAAAAGGGCAAAGGCGUCUUUUAGCUGUGUAAAAAAUGGAAAAAAUGGCUGAUAACAAAGGAAUUGAAGGGCAAUGCAGUCCGUUCACUGUUGGUGAACAGUGCACUCUUUCACAGGAUGAACAGUGAUUUUCUGCUGGGCUUUAGUAUAUAGAUAAUAUGGUUAAAUAAUAUGAUGUUAUGGCGCCUGUGGUUGGGUAUAUCAUGUCCAAUGUGAUACUGCGUGAGAAGAUCUUGGUUUUGUGGAGCCAUAAAUUUGUUGAAGUUGUUAGAGUUUCCUAGCCGUUAAGGUUAGGUCUCCUAGUUUGUAGGGUUGUUUCAGUUGCUGUUAAUAAGUCCUAGUCUUUCGGGAGAAGUUAUUUGAGUUUGAUUUAGUCUUGUACCACAUUGUUAGGGUUGUGAAAUGUGGGCUGCAUAUUUUUAGCUUUCAGUUCUCUUUGUAAGGCUAUUUAAAAGCCAUGUUUACACUUUGAAUAAACACAGAUAUUCUCCCAGGCAUUUGAGUGUUCUAGCAAAUAUAUGUUUACGUGAUCUUUUGUGAGUGUUCAACCUAGGGUUUCCAACAUCUGGUAUCAGAGCCCUACCACGGGGCCUGAUUGAAGUUAUUCUCAUCGUUUAAAACAGCGUCAUGACGACUGAAAGCAGUUUGUGCAACCUGCAAUCCCAAGGUUUGAUGGACACUAUGAUCAUUGGAGCAUGCUCAUGGGGAAUUUUUUGCGCUCCAAAGAAUAUUGGAGCUUGGUGGAGACUGUCAUUCCUGCAGUAGCAGAUGAGCGUGAUCUCACAGAUGGACAGAAGAAAACUAUUGAAGAUCAGCGACUAAAGGAUUUGAAGACUAAGAAUUACUUGUUCCAGGCCAUUGAUCGAUCAAUCCUGGAGACAAUAUUGAAGAAGGAUAUCGCGAAUGACAUCUCGGACUCCUUGAAGCAGAAGUACCAAGGCACGGCAAGAGUCAAGCGAGCAUAGUUACAAGCUCUUCGAAAGGAGUUUGAGAUUUUGCAUAUGAAGGAAGGGGAAUCAGUGAAUGAGUACUUUGCAUGUACUCUCACCAUAGCCAACAAGAUGAGGAUUCAUGGGGAAAAAAUGGAAGAUGUUGUGGUCAUCGAAAAGAUUAUGCGAUUAAUGACUUCUAAAUAUGACUAUGUGGUAUGUUCCAUCGAAGAAUCAAAUGAUCUCGACAUCCUAUCCAUCGAUGAAUUGCAAAGCAGCCUGCUUGUACAUGAACAAAGGAUGGGGAGACACACAGCGGAUGAGCAUGCUCUAAAGGUGACUUAUGAUAUUCACCAAGGCGGGCGAAGGGGACGCAGCAGUUUCCGAGGAAGAGGACGAGGAAGGGGUAGAAAUGGCCCUGACAAGACUACCCUUGAAUGUUACCACUGUCAUGAACUUGGACAUUUUCAGUGGGAAUGUCCUAAGAAGGGGAAGGAUUCAAAAGGCUUUUAUGCAGAAACUAGUGAAGAAAUGUUAUUGAUGGCCUACAUGGAUAUCAAGGAGGAUGACAGGGAAGAAUUAUGGUUCUUGGACUCGAGAUGGAGCAAUCAUAUGUGUGGUAAGAAGGAGCUGUUCAUAGAUUUGGACGACACCUUCAGGAAGUCUGUGAAGCUGGGGAACAACUCAAGCUUAGACGUGCUAGGAAAGGGAAAUAUUCGAAUGGAGGUCAAUGGGAUCAUGCAAGUCAUUAUUUGAGUGUUCUUUGUACCGGACUUAAAAAAAAAUUUACUGAGCAUUGGUCAGUUGCAAGAGAAGGGUCUUUGCCAUUUUUAUCAAAAAUGGCAAGUGCAGGAUUUAUCAUCCAGAAAGAGGACUGAUUUAGGAGACCACAAUGGCAGAAAAUCGCAUGUUUAUCUUGCUGGCACGCACACAAUUACAAGGGCAGAAAUGUUUCAACGUGAUUACGGACGAUCAACAUCAACUAUGGCAUCGUAGAUAUGGACACUUGGGUUGGAGUGGUCUAAAAGUCCUUCAACAGAAGAGUAUGGUGAAGGGCUUACCAAAAUUCAAAACACACAUGCAAGUUUGUGAAGAAUGUUUGGUAGGAAAACAACAACGAGAUCCAUUUCCAAAUGAGAGUACGUGGAGAGCAUCUCAGAUUCUUCAACUCGUGCAUGCAGACAUAUAUGGGCCUAUCAAUCCAAUCUCCAACAGCAAAAAGAGGUAUCUAAUUAGUUUCAUUGAUGAUUAUAGUAGGAAAACAUAGGUGUACUAUUUGGUUGAGAAGUUAGAAGCUCUUAGUAUUUUCAAAAGUUUCAAGACUAGGGUUGAAAAGGAAACUAGUUCAAGCAUAAGGACCCUACGUACAGAUCAUGGGGGUGAAUUCACUUCCCUCGAGUUCACAGAUUUUUGCAACAUGCAUGGAAUUCAAAGGCAGUUGACAGCUGCUUACACUCCCCAGCAGAAUGGCGUCGCGGAGAGGAAGAAUCGAACCAUCAUGAACAUGGUUCGAAGCAUGCUUACAGAGAAGAAAAUUCCAAGAACUUUUUGGCCAGAAGCAGUUAAUUGGGCCAUUCAUGUGCUCAACAGAAGUCCAACCCUAGCAGUGAGGAAUAUGACGCCAGAAGAAGCCUGGAGUGGCUUUAACCAUCAGUGGAGCACUUCAGGGUUUUUGGUUGCUUAGCACACGUGCAUGUUCCUGAUAGCAAGAGAAUCAAGCUCGAUGACAAGAGUAUGACGUGUAUUAUACUCGGAGUCAGUGAGGAAUCCAAGGUCUAUCGUCUAUACAAUCCAGCUUCUAAGAAGAUAGUAAUAAGUUAGGAUUUUGUUUUUGAAGAAGACAAAGCUUGGGACUGGAGUGACCAUCACCAAGAAACAAUCAUGGCUGAUCUCGAGUGGGACAUGAAUGAAGAAGGAGAUCCGAGGAAUGAUGAGGCUGAUGAACCAACACUGGAGAGCGAGGAAUCAAAUCAUAAUGACCAUACUGAGAUGACUGCCAUCGAAGGACGAGUUAGACGACAACUAGUGUGGAUGAGAGAUUAUGUAAAUGGAGAAAGUCUCUCCGAGGAAGAUGUGAGUUACUUAGUUCUAUUCACUGAGUUUGAUCCCAUUACGUAUGAAGAGGCUAUGAAAAGUGACAAAUGGAAGAAGGCCAUGGAUUCAGAAAUUCAAGCAAUAGAGAGAAACAAUACAUGGGAGCUGAUAGAGAUGCCACCAGAAGGGAAAAUAGUUGGGGUAAAGUGGAUUUACAAAACUAAGUUCAACGAGAAAGGUGAAGUGGACAAGUACAAGGCUCGCCUGGUUGCAAAAGGGUAUAGCCAGCAAUAUGGAGUAGAUUAUGCAAAAGUGUUUGCACCUGUGGCACGAUUGGAUAUAGUUCGUGUCAUUCUAUCACUUGCAGCAAAGAAUGAUUGGACUGGGUACCAAUUAGAUGUCAAAUCAGCUUUCCUCCAUGGUGAAAUAAAUGAAGAAGUGUUCAUAGCGCAGCCUCCAGGUUAUGAACAAAAAGGGCAGGAGCAUAAAGUUUAUAAGCUUAAAAACGCUCUAUACGGUCUCAAACAGGCUCCUCGAGCCUGGUACAACUGCAUUGAGUCUUAUUUCAUGAAGGAAGGCUUCGAGAAGUGCCCACAUGAACAUACCUUGUUUGUCAAGAGAGUGAAUGGAGGUAAAAUGUUAAUUGUCUGCCUUUAUGUUGAUGAUCUUAUAUUCACUGGGAAUGAUGAGUCAAUGUUCAAAGAUUUCAAACAUUCAAUGAUGACUAAAUAUGCUCAAGAAGUGUUGGAGAGGUUUAAUAUGGACCAAUGUAAUGCAGUUCAUAACCCUAUUGUUCCUGGUUUCAAAUUGAUGAAGGAUGAAGAAGGAGUAGAAGUGGAUAGCACUCUGUACAAACGAAUCGUGGGCAGUCUUAUGUGCUUGACUACAACGCGACCAGAUAUGAUGUAUGUUAUUAGCCUGAUUAGUAGGUUCAUGGAACGACCUACUGAGCUGCAUCUUAAAGCAGCAAAAAGGGUGUUGAGGUACUUGAAGGGCACGGUGAAUUUUGUGUUGGUCUAUAAGAAGGGAGGAGGAGAAGAACUCUUCGAAUACACUGACAGUGAUUAUGCUGGAGAUCAGGAUGAUAGGAAGAGUACUUCUAGAUACGUUUUUAUGUUAAGUUCUGGGGCAGUUUCUUGGUCCUCAAAGAAACAACCGGUGGUCACGUGAUCUACCAUCGAAGCUGAGUUUAUAGUUGCAGCUUCAAGUGCAUGUCAAGCAGUUUGGUUAAGGAGGAUCUUGCAACAGCUCAAUCAUGAACCGCAUAAGUUUACAACCAUUUACUGUGAUAAUAGUUCUACCAUUAAACUCUCAAAGAAUCCAGUGAUGCAUGGGUGUAGCAAGCACAUAGAUGUUCGGUUCCACUUUCUUCGAGAGCUUACCAAAGAUGAGGUUGUAGAGUUGGCUCAAUGUUCUUUGCAGGAGCAGGUGGCAGACAUCAUGACCAAGCCUCUGAAGCUGGACGUGUUUCAGAAAUUGCGGGGGUUGUUGGCUGUUCAUUCACUCGUGGAUAUAAACUGAUUGCUGAUAGCAUUCAGUUUAAGGGAGGAUGUUGAAGUUGUUAGGGUUUCCUAGCUGUUAGGGUUAGGUCUCCUAGUUUGUAGGGUUGUUUCAGUUGCUGUUAAUAAGUCCUAGUCUUUAGGGAUAAGUUAUUUGAGUUUGAUUUAGUCUUGUACCACGUUGUUAGAGUUGUGAAACGUGGGCUGCAUAUUUUUGGCUUUCAGUUUUCUUUGUAAGGCUAUUUAAAAGCCAUGUUUACACUUUGAAUAAACACAG
rnacentral:lncRNA from 1 species